GUCGCUGUAGCACAAUUGGUAGUGUGACGCACACCUAAUGCGGAGGUUGUGGGUUCGCCUCCCACCAGCGACA